UACUUUGAGUCACCAGCGCCGCUGCUGCUACUCCAAAAUUCUGCUUCUGUUUCUUAGGGUUUGCUAUCUCAGCCCCCUUGAAGUUACCGUCGGUUCUGUUCUUGCCGGUGAGGGUCGCCGGAGCUGCUGCAAUUCCAGUCUCUUGUUCCUCUGAUAAGCUGCCUCGCGGUGUUGUUCCAUCGUCGCUGUUAUUGGAAGAAGCAGUCGAAGUGGCUGCCAUGAACUAAAAGGAAAGGGAGUUGUUACAAUAGGUUUAUGCGAACUCAGCUAAUCGAGAGUAGUUGUGGUUGCUGCGUAAGCGGUUUGGAGCUGUAUG